rnacentral:rRNA from 1 species
UACAGAGGUCUCAAGCGUUGUUCGGAUUCAUUGGGCGUAAAGGGUGCGUAGGCGGCGCGGUAAGUCGGGUGUGAAAUCUUGGAGCUUAACUCCGAAACUGCAUUCGAUACUGCCGUGCUUGAGGACUGGAGAGGAGACUGGAAUUUACGGUGUAGCGGUGAAAUGCGCAGAUAUCGGAAGGAACACCAGUGGCGAAGGCGACUACCUGGCUGUUCUUGACGCUGAGGCGCGAAAGCUA